rnacentral:rRNA from 1 species
AGAGUUUGAUCCUGGCUCAGGAUGAACGCUAGCGGCAGGCUUAAUACAUGCAAGUCGAGGGGCAGCACGGGUAGCAAUACCUGGUGGCGACCGGCAAACGGGUGCGGAACACGUACACAACCUUCCUUUUAGUGUGGGAUAGCCCAGAGAAAUUUGGAUUAAUACCACAUAGUAAAUCGAAAAGGCAUCUUUUUGAUUUUAAAGAUUUAUCGCUAAAAGAUGGGUGUGCGUAUGAUUAGGUAGUUGGUAGAGGUAACGGCUCACCAAGCCUUCGAUCAUUAACUGGUGUGAGAGCACGACCAGUCACACGGGCACUGAGACACGGGCCCGACUCCUACGGGAGGCAGCAGUAAGGAAUAUUGGUCAAUGGACGCAAGCCUGAACCAGCCAUGCCGCGUGAAGGAUGACUGCCCUCUGGGUUGUAAACUUCUUUUAUCUGGGACGAAAAAGGGCCAUUCUUGGUCAACUGACGGUACCAGAGGAAUAAGCACCGGCUAACUCCGUGCCAGCAGCCGCGGUAAUACGGAGGGUGCAAGCGUUAUCCGGAUUUACUGGGUUUAAAGGGAGCGCAGGCGGAUUAGUAAGUCAGUGGUGAAAGCCUUGAGCUUAACUCGAGAACUGCCAUUGAUACUAUUAGUCUUGAAUGUUGUUGAGGUUUGCGGAAUGGGUCAUGUAGCGGUGAAAUGCAUAGAUAUGACCCGGAACACCUAUUGCGAAGGCAGCAGGCUAAACAAAUAUUGACGCUGAGGCUCGAAAGCGUGGGGAUCAAACAGGAUUAGAUACCCUGGUAGUCCACGCCCUAAACGAUGAUUACUCGACAUACGUGAUAUGACAAUGUGUGUCUGAGCGAAAGCAUUAAGUAAUCCACCUGGGAAGUACGACCGCAAGGUUGAAACUCAAAGGAAUUGACGG